CGGUGUGACGCCUGCCCGGUGCCGGAAGGUUAAUUGAUGGGGUUAGCGCAAGCGCGAAGCUCUUGAUCGAAGCCCCGGUAAACGGCGGCCGUAACMAUAACGGUCCUAAGGUAGCGAAAUUCCUUGUCGGGUAAGUUCCGACCUGCACGAAUGGCGUAAUGAUGGCCAGGCUGUCUCCACCCGAGACUCAGUGAAAUUGAACUCGCUGUGAAGAUGCAGUGUMCCCGCGGCAAGACGGAAAGACCCCGUGAACCUUUACUAUAGCUUGACACUGAACAUUGAGCCUUGAUGUGUAGGAURGGUGGGAGGCUUWGAAGUGUGGACGCCAGUCUGCAUGGAGCCGACCUUGAAAUACCACCCUUUAAUGUUUGAUGUUCUAACGUUGACCCGUAAUCCGGGYUGCGGACAGUGUCUGGUGGGUAGUUUGACUGGGGCGGUCUCCUCCUAAAGAGUAACGGAGGAGCACGAAGGUUGGCUAAUCCUGGUCGGACAUCAGGAGGUUAGUGCAAUGGCAUAAGCCAGCUUGACUGCGAGCGUGACGGCGCGAGCAGGUGCGAAAGCAGGUCAUAGUGAUCCGGUGGUUCUGAAUGGAAGGGCCAUCGCUCAACGGAUAAAAGGUACUCCGGGGAUAACAGGCUGAUACCGCCCAAGAGUUCAUAUCGACGGCGGUGUUUGGCACCUCGAUGUCGGCUCAUCACAUCCUGGGGCUGAAGUAGGUCCCAARGGUAUGGCUGUUCGCCAUUUAAAGUGGUACGCGAGCUGGGUUUAGAACGUCGUGAGACAGUUCGGUCCCUAUCUGCCGUGGGCGCUGGAGAACUGAGGGGGGCUGCUCCUAGUACGAGAGGACCGGAGUGGACGCAUCACUGGUGUYCGGGUUGUCAUGCCAAUGGCACUGCCCGGUAGCUAAAUGCGGAAGAGAUAAGUGCUGAAAGCAUCUAAGCACGAAACUUGCCCCGAGAUGAGUUCUCCCUGACUCCUUGAGAGUCCUGAAGGAACGUUGAAGACGACGACGUUGAUAGGCCGGGUGUKURAGCGCAGCGAUGCGUUGAGCUAACCGGUACUAAUGAAC
rnacentral:rRNA from 1 species